GGGCUCGUGGUCUAGGUGGUUAUGAUGUCGCCUUGACAGGGCGAAGAUCGGGAGUUCGAAUCUCCCCGAGCCCA
rnacentral:tRNA from 1 species